GCAUACGUGCAGUGGGUCGGUGCAUCUAGCUGUUAACCAGAAGGUUGGUGGUUCAAGCCCACCCACCCAGGGACA